GGGCCCGCACAAGCGGCGGAGCAUGUGGCUUAAUUCGACGCAACGCGAAGAACCUUACCAAGGCUUGACAUACACCGGAAACGUCUGGAGACAGGCGCCCCCUUGUGGUCGGUGUACAGGUGGUGCAUGGCUGUCGUCAGCUCGUGUCGUGAGAUGUUGGGUUAAGUCCCGCAACGAGCGCAACCCUUGUCCCGUGUUGCCAGCAGGCCCUUGUGGUGCUGGGGACUCACGGGAGACCGCCGGGGUCAACUCGGAGGAAGGUGGGGACGACGUCAAGUCAUCAUGCCCCUUAUGUCUUGGGCUGCACACGUGCUACAAUGGCCGGUACAAUGAGCUGCGAUACCGUGAGGUGGAGCGAAUCUCAAAAAGCCGGUCUCAGUUCGGAUUGGGGUCUGCAACUCGACCCCAUGAAGUCGGAGUCGCUAGUAAUCGCAGAUCAGCAUUGCUGCGGUGAAUACGUUCCCGGGCCUU
rnacentral:rRNA from 1 species